CUUUUCUUAAUGUUACUGUUUUCAAAAGGCCCUGCUGGUUCACAGCCAGGCAGGAGCUGGAAAGUGGAAGGUGCUUCCUUCACAGAAGUGUUUUUUCCUCAACAGGGUGCAGCCACCAGAGCUCCACUGUGAUAAUGCAAGCCACGGGCACGGCCUGGGAGUGCAGCAUGACCCCGUGGGUACUUCCUGAGGGAAAGCAAGAUUGAAGGAGGGGCAAACCCCAGGUUCAGCACCUCACUGCACUCACAGUGCCCUCACAGCAGCAGCUGUACAGAAGCACUCGGCAUUUCCCAAGGAGAGCCCUCACAGCAGCACCCCAUGCUUAGCCCAGGACGCUGGCAGCUGUGUCCCCAUGUGUGAGCUCCUCCCUGCCGGCCUCAUCCCAGCACCCCCAUCUGUUGGGCCACAGCCUUUGCCUGGUCUCCUCUUACUCUGAAUUGCAGCUCUGAUUGCACAGCUUUAUGCUCUUGCAGCACUUUGCUGUUGGAACAAUUUCUUGCCAGAAGCACAGCACCGUGUGCCUUCCUGCUCCCUCUGGCUGCCAUCUGCUGCCCAGCAUAAAGCAAACCGGGGCUUCUGCUGCCCAUCUGCUCGCCAUAGAGCCAACCGAGCAACCUUCCUGACUGCAGCAGCCACUGCAACAGAGGCUGGAAUUGCUGGAAAUACCAAGGAGACAGGGAGGACAUGCAAUACCUUUCGUUGUGCUUCAUCUGUAUACUGCAGCACUGAGUCCAAGUGGGUUCUCCUGCUCUCAUCCAUCCUGGCAAGAGAAAGCACGGAAGAACCACUGUGCUGGCACACGUGUACUGGCCCCACGGGACACACCUGGACAGAGAAGGGAAAGAAGAGACAAGCACUAAACCCCUGCUAGCUGCCUGUGUAAGCAAUCUGCAGCAGAUGGUGCCCAGAUGUUCCCCAUCACCAGAUGUUCCAGCUUUAUACAGAAGACAACUCCUGCUCCUCAGUUCUGGAGCGAGGGCACUAGGAGCACAGAAGGGUAAUUAGUGCUUACACACAAACACCAACACAGAGGCUGAUUCUUCCUUAAAGUUUCACUACAAGACACAAACUUCUGCCACCCACCAGAGCCUGAGCUAACUGUGCUGCCUGGAAGCCAGACUGUUAUGGCUGCCCAUGGCUCCACACUUGUAUCUAUGGAAAAGUUACCUUCAUUUCCAUAGUAACAUAACACUGCUGCUUUCAGGAAGUUCUAAGUACAAACCAAGUUACUGCAAAUAUAUAUAUACACACAUAUAUUUUAAAGAGGUAACCAAGAAAUAAAGGAACACAUUUAUC